GGACUACUAGGGUUUCUAAUCCUGUUCGCUCCCCAUGCUUUCGCUUCUCAGUGUCAGUAAUGGCCCAGAGACCUGCCUUCGCCAUCGGUGUUCUUCCUGAUAUCUGCGCAUAUCACCGCUACACCAGGAGUUCCAGUCUCCCCUACCACACUCUAGCCUGCCCGUACCCACCGCACGCCCGAGGUUGAGCCUCGGGUUUUCACGGCAGACGCGACAAGCCACCUACAAGCUCUUUACGCCCAAUAAUUCCGGACAACGCUUGCGCCCUACGUAUUACCGCGGCGGCUGGCAC
rnacentral:misc_RNA from 1 species